rnacentral:rRNA from 2 species
UGGGGGAUAUUGCACAAUGGGCGAAAGCCUGAUGCAGCGACGCCGCGUGGGGGAUGAAGGCUUUCGGGUUGUAAACCUCUUUCGCUAUCGAACAAGGCCCGCUUAGGGUGGGUUGAGGGUAGGUGGAGAAGAAGCGCCGGCUAACUACGUGCCAGCAGCCGCGAUAAUACGUAGGGCGCGAGCGUUGUCCGGAAUUAUUGGGCGUAAAGGGCUUGUAGGCGGCUUGUUGCGCCUGCUGUGAAAACGCGGGGCUUAACUUCGCGCGUGCAGUGGGUACGGGCAGGCUUGAGUGUGGUAGGGGUGACUGGAAUUCCAGGUGUAGCGGUGGAAUGCGCAGAUAUCUGGAGGAACACCGAUGGCGAAGGCAGGUCACUGGGCCAUUACUGACGCUGAGGAGCGAAAGCAUGGGUAGCGAACAGG